rnacentral:tRNA from 3 species
GCGGGGGUGGUCGAGCUGGCCAAAGGCGCCGGACUUAAGAUCCGGUCCCUAGCGGUUCAGGGGUUCGAAUCCCCUCCCCCGCACCA